rnacentral:rRNA from 1 species
UACGAAGGGGGCGAGCGUUGUUCGGAUUUACUGGGCGUAAAGGGCGCGUAGGCGGCCUUGUCAGUCAGGCGUGAAAGCCCCGGGCUCAACCUGGGAACGGCGCUUGGGACGGCGAGGCUGGAGUUCGGGAGAGGAGAGUGGAAUUCCCAGUGUAGAGGUGAAAUUCGUAGAGAUCAUGAGGAAGACCAGUGGCGAAGGCGGGUCUCUGGACAGUUCCUGACACUUAGGCACGAAGGCCAGGGGAGCAAACGGG